rnacentral:rRNA from 1 species
CCUAGUACAUGCAAGUCGAACGAGGCGUCUUCGGAGCCGAGUGGCGUACGGGUGAGUAACACGUUGGUAACCCUGCCCUCCAGACCGGAAUACCAGAGAGAAAUCUCUGCUAAUGCCGGAUGACGUCAUAUGGUCGCAAGACCACUUGACCAAAGGCGGCAACUGCCGCGCUGAAGGAUGGACCUGCGUCGCAUUAGCUAGUUGGCGGGAUAAUGGCCCACCAAGGCGAGGAUGCGUAGCCGAGCUGAGAGGCUAAACGGCCACAUUGGGACUGAGACACGGCCCAGACUCCUACGGGAGGCAGCAGUAGGGAGUAUUUGGCAAUGGGGGAAACCCUGACCGAGCAACGCCGCGUGUGUGAUGAAAAGGCCUUCGGGUCGUAAAACACUGUGAUUCUCUGGGAAACUCAUGGGGAGUGGAAAGCCUCAUGACUGACCGGACUAUUAGAAAGCAACUGCUAACUACGUGCCAGCCGCGGC